rnacentral:rRNA from 1 species
UGAGGAACAUGACCUUCGGCGGGGGAGUAGCCGGCCCAACGGCCGGGUAAUACCGCGUACGACCUUUCGGGGACAUCCCUGGAUGGUGAAAGCAGCAAUGCGCCGGUGGAGUGCCUCGCGGCCUAUCAGCUAGUUGGUGAGGUAACGGCUCACCAAGGCAACGACGGGUAGCUGGUCUGAGAGGACGACCAGCCACACUGGAACUGAGACACGGUCCAGACUCCUACGGGAGCAGCAGG